CAUUGAACAUCGACAUUUUGAACGCAUAUUGCGGCCAAGAGUCCCUCUCUUGGCCACGCCCGUCUGAGGGUCGGCUAAGUCU
rnacentral:rRNA from 11 species